rnacentral:rRNA from 1 species
UACGUAGGGUGCAAGCGUUAAUCGGAAUUACUGGGCGUAAAGCGUGCGCAGGCGGUGAUGUAAGACAGGUGUGAAAUCCCCGGGCUUAACCUGGGAACUGCGCUUGUGACUGCAAGACUCGAGUACGGCAGAGGGGGGUAGAAUUCCACGUGUAGCAGUGAAAUGCGUAGAGAUGUGGAGGAAUACCGAUGGCGAAGGCAGCCCCCUGGGUCGAUACUGACGCUCAUGCACGAAAGCGUGGGGAGCAAACAGG